UUGGUGCAGGCUGGCUGCUCCUUCAGACAUUGGAGGGACCUUGAGUUGCUGACUACUGCAGAGUUAGCAGUCUGGCUCUGCCGCAGGAGUUCUUGGCAUGAAGCCAACACGCAUCAGAAUUAGCUCAUUGUUAAGAAUAUACAGCAUACAGUCUAUUAGAAUCCCAGCCUUGGAAAGGAAUGCACUUUCCAAGGCUGGGCUCCUUUUCUAGGAGAGCAGUGAUUUUUUAAAUGACUUCUACUUGUUCCUUUUUACACCAACCGUAUUGUAUUGCACGUGUAGAGAGGCAAGCAAUUGGAAGGGAGCAGAGCCUUUUUGUCUGCAAGUUGUGCUGCUUUCGGUGGCUGGAGGGACUGCAGUUCCAGCACCGCUGCAGAAAAAUCAAAUAAUGGAUGAUUUCAAGCUCCCCUCCCAAGCAGGGAAAGAAGGGGAGCAAAAAGACAAAAAGCUUCAUUCCUGUCUCCUGGUGAAGGCCAUCUACCAGAAAACAAAAAUGAUGACCUCUGAAUUAUUCCUGAAUCAUGUAUCUUCCAUUUGUAUUGAUUUGGUCUGUGGGUGUAGAUGAGUUAGUAAAAAAUAUGGAUUUUUUUUGUUUGUUUUUUUUUAAAUUGUAAGUUAGGCAUAUUUGGGACUCUGAGCCUUUGUGAUGUCUAUUUUGCAAUGGUCAGGUGAAACAAAAAGCAAAUCAAAACCUUUGAGACAAACUUGAGCUACAAUAUCCACAUUGUGAGUCCAUGUUUACAAACACUACAGGUGGGCUGAGAGGCCUUUUUAUGCUGGAGCAGCAUGUCUUCCAUUUCUACACCACAAACACCCGUACAGUUUAACUAUUUCACUGAGGCAGAGAGUCCCCUGUUUUCAUUUAGACAUUAAUAAGCUCAUUAGUUUAGUAGUUCUCAUUAAUUUGCCUAUAUAACUCCAUAUGUUAACCACGUACAUGUUGAUGUUUAAAAGUAGUUGUAGAAAUGCAUUGUUUCCUUGUGGUAAGUGAUUGAGGUGCUGCCAUGGGAAUGCGACACUGAUGAAUGGUGCUAUUUUGGACUUUCACUAUGCUCCUUGGUAAGGUAGCUCUGAUUGUUUAUUUUAUUUUAAAUUUUUAAAAUGUUAUUUCCAUGUUUUAAGAAGGUGUUAGUGCUUUGUUGCUUGGUUGUUGUUCCUUGAUCUGGAUUGACUAGUUCUUCCUGUCUGUGUGACUUUCUUAUUGAGUACAGACAAAGAUUUUAAAAAUAAGAAACAAGUCAGACGGAAGACUGGCCUAUGAUUUACUGGGAGGGAGCAACUAUAAAACUGCAUUGUUAACUAAGUUCCCCCAUUUUUUAAAUCUCUUAAGAGUUGAGACGUCAUUAUUAGAUGCUCUCCUUUAAAUCCAAGCACUCCUCACUGGGUUUUUUUGUCUUUAAUGUAAUGAAAGAUCAUGUAUAACACAAAAAUAUGAAUGUCCAACCACACCAAAUGUGGCACUUUUUUACAAGAUACCAUGCAGUGCUAAGUUAGUGAAAUAAAGAAUUUAAUAAAAUGUUUUUAAAAACCCUGAUCUCACUUAAGACAAUGUCAUAAAAAACAGCUUGAAGAAAUUGUAUUUUUUACACACUUGUUGUCCUUAAAGUUAUACUAAUGAAACAAAUAUAAUAGAUUUAUUGAUAUUUUUGGUGUUUUUAAAACUUUUUGGAAAUAAGGAGUUAAGGGCAUAUUUCAUUUGUGCUGGGCUUCCACGGGUGACAACAUGGUCAAUUUAGCAUUUUCUGUUUUGUUUUGAAAAUACAGAAACCCGCUUAAGAUGGCUGUGUCUUUCCUCUCCCCACACUUAAGUGACACCAGCCAUAGUUACCUACCAGUUUAGAAAUAUUUCAGUUCAAAGCACAUACUGUAUUGUACAGUAUGCAGCUUAAAAUGUGACAGUUUUAAGUAUAAAUAGUUAAUGCUAACCAGUUGUAACGUCUGUUGGGUGACCAUAUUGCUCCAAGUUUACCAGGACAGUUUUUUUUUUUUUUGACUGACAUUCCAAAGCAGUCAGUACUUUUUACCUACAGGACCAGAAUGCAUUGGGAUAUCCCAAACUGUUCCUGUGAACUUGGAGUCGCUUAGUAACACAAAGCCUGUUAUCAUUGUCAACAUUAUCAGUGAUCCCUUUAUUUCUUUACUGAAGAUAUUUUUGUUCUUUGCUGAAUUUUAACCUGUGCUUCCUGCUACCUUGUGUUGAAGGUCAGCUCAAUGGUCCCAGUCUCACCCUUGUAAAAGAGGCUGUGAAGCUAACACAGGACAAACAAACAAACACAGGACAAACAAACAAAAAAAUAAAUGAAUAAAAAUAACCUUUAGCUUAAAAAGGUGGGUCAGCCAUAAUGUUAAUAAUUCUAAUUCAUGGUAAGAAACUAGAAUUUCAAAGCCUUGGAUGCCAGUCAUUAAUUUUGGCCAGUUUAUUUUGGGAACUCACAGACAUACAAUAAAGAAUUUGUAAAUGUUUAGUCAUACUUAUUUGCAGUUUUGUAUUUGCUUGCUUUUAGUUCAUUCCAUCUACAAUGCUAAUGUGGUUACAGUCUGAAAGCCCUUAUACCUUUUUACUUCUGCUGUUCUAGGUUAUUCCUUUACAGUGCAGGCCUUGAGAUGUAUUCUAACCUGGCUAAGCUUCUGAAUUUCAAUCUGGUGCAUGGACUUUUCUUUUUUCUUAGUAAUUAUUAUUAUUUUUUUAAAAUAUUCUGUUUUUUGUGUUUUUAUGUGCAGUUGUCUUUUUAUGUUAGACUAGGAAUUCCAGCUGUGUUGUAUAUAGCCAGUGACAGUAUUAGGCAGUUCUGGCAUUUGUAUGCUGAGGUAUAUCUGGAACUGUGCGGUUGAUAAUGACAGCUUUUGUAAUAAUGUGAUCUUCAAUAAUGCAUUACAAGUAUCCUGUGUAUUUUUGGCUUUUUUAGUAGUACUUAAAUAAAUAUGCAAGCUGUUAAAAAA